rnacentral:rRNA from 1 species
GACGAACGCUGGCGGCGUGCUUAACACAUGCAAGUCGAGCGGAGCGGCGAACGGGUGAGUGAGUCGUUAGUAACUGCCCACCUCCCUGGGAUAACAGGUGGAAACGGCUACUAAUACCGGAUAGUGGGGGAUGAGUCGCGUACUAUCAGAUUGUUGGUGGGGUAGUGGCCUACCAAGGCGACGACGGGUAGCCGGCCUGAGGGGUCGACCGGCCACAUAGGGCUACGAUACGGCCCAAACUGCUACGGGAGGCAGGAAGGGGGAACAGUGCACGCUGGGGGGAGCCAUGAUGCAGCAACGCCGGGUGCGGGAUGACUGUCUUCGGGUUGUAAACCGCUUUCAGCGAUGACGCGGUAGUGGAAGAAGAAGCACCGGCUAACUACGUGCCAGCAGCCGCGGUAAUUC